ACUCCCGCUGCCUCCAGGAUGAGUCCUUUGCAAAACACCGCGUGAGGGAGGGAGGGGAACGAAUGCAAAUGGCUUUGGAGACAAUCUCCUCUUUCCCAUGUAUAUACAUAUGCUCUCAAAGCGUUGCAGUUUGCAGCAGCUUGGAUGCUUUAAAAUAAAUCAUGCAGUGCAUUUUUUUUUUCUUGCUCCUAAAUGAAACCGUGGCACAAAACAACGUCCCCAAACUCGCAAAGCCCUCGGUGCUGGUUCUGCUCUCCGGGGCUGGCCAGCGUGUGUGUGGCCACAAACCUCCACGCGUUGUGUGGCGAAGCCUCACGGUCGCCUGCUUUAAGGGCUUGACAGGUUUAUAAAGUGCUGAGUGUCCCGGAGGGACGGCGGCACUGUUUGCAGAGAAGAUGAAGCGUGCCAUAUCCAGCUGGUCUAACAAGGCAGCGGGAAAUCUAAAUUAAUUCAGGAAUCACUUCUGUUUUGCCGAGGGAGGAUGUGGGUCUCGAUCUAUGGAAGGAGCACGUCGGGGGAAUACUCAGUAACGGCAGGCGUGGGGGUGCAGCGCCAGGCUCCCCCCUCUUACACCGGGGUAAAUCAGGGGGCAUUUAGCUGAGGUACAGAGCAGCAGCGGGGUGAAAUGGGCCCCGGGGGCUGUGUCGUGUUUGGGGUGGAAGCCUGGUUCCCACCUGCGAGGGCUGAUCCUCCCCAGCCUCCCUAAGGAGGGACCCGCCUCAACCACUGCCACCUGGGCUCUGCAGGUGAGGCCGGGGGCAUUUAAUGGCUCCUGCUGCCUCCCCCCUUCCUCUGGGCUGUGUCCUCUCUGUUCCACCACAUCCCUCCCACAGCACGGGCUCAGCCUCGGUGCCCGUGUUGGACUUGGGCCUUAGCCUGUUCUCGGUACCGCAGGAUUGUGAUUUUGUGCAGGAUAACGUCAGUCCAGGCCACAGCCACCUCCCUGCCAUGGCACUUGGGGACGAUGCUCCAAAGUCAGCCCAUGACGUCCACCUAUUGAAACCUCCAAGGCACGCAGUUUCUGCAGCUAAGUCAUAUCAGGAGUGAAAACUUUUUGGUAGAGCAUUAGGCUGCGGAAAAAAUCAGAGCUCCCAAAUAGUGGUGAUCCAGCCUGGGACGCUGCCUAGCCCAAGGGCUCCUGGCAAUGCCAGGACCUACCUCGUGUGGGCCAGCUCUGAGGGCCUGCAGAGAGCCACACCCUGCUUAGCAGCUGCAGUGGAGCUUCCUAAAACACCCAGGGACCCUCAGGUCUGCCAGGAUGCUCUUGAUUCCUGACUGUUUUUUUUUUUUAAUGAGGUGCAAGUCUGUAACCAGAAGACACUAAAAAGCAAUUGCAUUAAAUCAAGAACUACAUUUGACUUUAUGGAUUGUUUAUGGGAUCUUUCUUUUAUUAAUUCUUUAUCCUUUAAUAUUAUAAAGGAUUUGUGUCCACAAUAAAUAAUGUAAAGUUAAAUUACA
rnacentral:lncRNA from 1 species